AUGGCUGCAGAUUAAACCGUUAAGAUUUUAUAACAAAAACAAUUUUAAUGUAAAUGCAUAUGGUGACUUGUUUACAUUUUCUUUGAACGCUUGUGUGGGAUACAAUUAAAUUCUCUUUUAACAUAAAUGAAACACAAGGGGAAAAAACACAAUUUUUUGAGACUUUAAUUAAAGAUAAAGCUUUAGAACAAUAUGUCGAAACUCUCCCUGGUGCCGUAUAGCGAUUCAGAUGAAUCUUUCGUUGAUUUAAAUGGUUUGGAAAGUUUAAAAGAAGUCGAGGAGGAAACGAGUGUUGGGAAAAGGGGCUACAGAAAGCAAAAGAGAAUACCUAAAAGGCUGCAAAAAGUUAAGAAAAAAAUACGAGUGUUUUGCCCAACCCGUGCUUAAAGAAAAAAUGUCCAAACUGUAUAUCAGCAUUAUGUAGAACAUUUGAAAACUAUUAAUAAAGUAAAUAGUCAGUUA